GUUGUUAUUAAAGCCGCUGCUAAAUCAAAAGAUUGUAUUUUUCACAUGUGCACAAGCAUAAUUAGCUAGCACAUAUCAUCAGUAACUACCUUUACCAAGCUAGCAUAUGAACAGAUAUGUACAUAAUCAUAAAGUGAAUGAAUAUGGCUGCACCAAAAUGCCCAUCAAUCACUUCCAAGUACUAGCAGAAAGGUUUUGUGCAGCAAUAGAAUGCGAGAGAACUAACAGACAACAGCAAAAGAUGAAGUUGAUGAAUAAAUCAGGACUUUCCUUUGAAUAAUCUCUCGGUACUGCAAGGUAGAAUGCAACCACCUUCUUGCACCAGUAAGUACUCAGCAAUUAGAUGCAACUUUCCGCAUAAAUCCAUAUUUCAUCAAAAUCCACCCAUAAUGUAAGCUCUAGACAGCAGGCCCCACAAGUGCCAACAGCAGAAUUCAUCCUUGCAUAACCUUGAGUCACCUGUCAAUUGGACUUUUUGCCAGUAAGAAUAAGAGAUAUCUGGAGCCCCCUGCUGAAUGCUUGAUUAAAUAGGAUCCUUGUCUGCAUUGACUGGAAUCCAGGCAGCCAUGAUAGAAAUGCAACAGGAGCCAUCACAAUCACCCCAAACAGCAUAUCAUAUAACCGAGCCAAGGAGGCCACAGUAUCCCACACAACAGUGGACUGCAAAAAUGGUCUAAGUACUUGAGCAAUGCAUAUGAGGCCCCAGCCUGUGGGAAUAAAUGCCAAAAGACUGCUCACAAGAUCAAGAAAUAUAAACGUUGUGAGCUUCAGUAACAGAACUAUCACAAGAAUAGUAAGUGUAAUGACUAUAAGCUGUGUUAGCCGAUAUUUGAUGUGCUCCUUUGCAGCAAAUUUGUCCUGAGCAUAUGAUAUGCUGACAUAAAUUCCAACAGCUGCAACCAUAUAUAUCCAAGAUAACAGGUAAACAGCUAUACUGGUACUCCCACUAGUAAUAUUCAGGUGAUAUACAACACCAUACUGGAAGAAGAAGAAACGAAGGUCCAAAAUUAUCUCCAACAGCUUUCCCCACAGACCUGUAGUUCUUAGAUGAUCCUGCUCCUCAUACCACCAUGUUUCCCAGCUUUGAUCUGCUUUUGCCAGCACUCCUCUAUACCAAAUCCAGUUCAUAAAGCCUUCAAAGUCAUACACAGUUUUUAGCCAAUCAAAGCCAGAAGGGUUGAACAGAAAGGGGGAAAUUAUCCAUGAUACCACAAGGAACCAGCAAGAAAUUGUCAUGAUUAUGUAAACAAAAGUAUUUGCAGCCAAAUCACUGUUGGCAGCAUAUACUAUUAGAAUGACCCCAAGCUCAAUUGCCUUCACAAAAUGGCUUCGUGCAAAUAGUCUAUAGUUCUCAGCAAAGCUCUUGUGCUGCACCACGAAACCACGUCCAGUGGCUUGGUAUUUGGCACCUCCAUGAAGAAUAGUCCGACCAAAGAAAUGGGCACGAGUUCCCAUAGAGAAGGUGUAAAAAAAUGAAGCCAACUGGAACUGCAUUGUCAAAAAGUCCCAAACAGCUGGAAGAAACCCAUGUUCAAGAGAGUUCUCCACAAUCAUAGGGAGGGCAGUGAAGAGGCCUAAUUGGAUAAGGAACUGCUGAUUCAGAAUUGUGCCAAGGGCCUCAUUGUUGCUACUAUUGGCCUUUGCGUAACCCUCUACACCACUGAGAGCAAGAUAAAGACGGCCCCACAAAAAAGUAUAAACAGUCAGUACCACAAGCAUCGUGUUGAAGUAGAAUCCCACAGUGGUGUAGAAAAAUGAGAGCAUGCGAAAGAAAUCCAAUCUGUGGCCCAACCGAUAUACAUCUCUGCUUAAAACCUGCUCACCGUUGCCGCUUGCAAUCUUUGCCUCAAACAUUGAAACCUGAUUCAGCCCAACAUCUCUUCCUUUACCUACCUGUAUAUAUUCAUGAUGUGUCACAUUGCCACCUCGAAGUGUGCAAUUGAAGCCAGCAAAUAUAUCCUCACUGAUGUUGAUAACUCUAGACGCCUUGCUUAGUCCACCCCGAGGCACGAACCAAAACCUAUCAAACACAUCUGGGUGACCGUAAUGCAUUCGUAUCUUUAAAGGGUUAGCAAGAACACGCUGUCCAAGUGUCACAAAACUUGUCUCCUGAGCAGACAUGAACCAAGCAAGUGAGGACACUGAACCUGUGAAAAUAUUCUCACGCACACCUAAAAUGGUUGGCCUCCUAAUUCCAUAAUGAGUCUUAAAUUCCUCCAGCAAAUUCCGCAUCUUGAGUGCCUCCUCAAAAUAAUUGUCCUGGUUCAUGUCAAUGGUCUGGACUGCAUCACCCCGAGUAAAGAUAAUGGCAUGGUUCUGAUUUUCAGGUUUGCCUUCUCCAAGCUUCAAGGCACCAGGCAAUCUGAUCCGAUAAAUCUCAACUUCCCUCUGCAGCUGCUGAUCAUACUUCACAAGAACUGAGUAAUACUCAACUUCACCCCUCCCCAAGUGAACUUCAUCAACAUAUGCAACUCGAAGGGCCUCGUUGUUUUUCAUCAGAUGUAAAAUCUCCUCAGCAUGAGGAUCUCCUUUUGCCUUCUGCUGCCCAUACACUUGGCAGGAGACUACAUAUGUGAAUUUCAUCAGAGCACUCCCAUACUCAUGCCCUUUAAACAAAAGACUUACACUACUACCUGCUCUGCCCAGUUUCUGCGAAGAUGGUGGCUUGACCGAGUUUAGACCAUCCAAACUGCGGUUUUGCCUUGAUGAGUGAUGAGAAGCAAGUUCUUGUGU
rnacentral:misc_RNA from 1 species